AACUUAAGAAGCUAAAAAAAAAAAGAGAGAGAGAGAAGCGUGGAUGAAUCUCCUCUUCUGUCCCAAUCUCUCUGGACCCUUUUCUCAGGGUUCGACCAUGGUUUGGGAGAAGAGGCAGCAGCGCAGGAUUCUUGUCUGAAUUCUUAUAGUGUUUUCAUCGUACGCAAUUUGUUGGAUAUAACUUCUUAUUUGAUUGCAGAACUAUAGCACGCCCAAAUUUGGCUGUGUCAACCAGUGUUUGAGGAGAAAAGUUGUCAUUGUUGACUGCAUUUGUGGUUUUCCUUGCGUCUUCAGGCAUGGGUGGAGUAAAGACCAAGAAAUUCAAGAAGAUCUCAUUCAAAGGGUCAAUCAAGCAAGUGAAACAAUGGUUACAAUGGAGGAAAGCCAAGGGCAGAUUACAGGGCAGUGACGAUUUUGUCACGCCUGUGAUCUUUGCUGCCAAAGGAAGAAUUGAGAAAACAGAUUCUGCCACAGCCAUGAUGAUUGCAUGACAGGUCUGAUCCUUGCUGCAACAGGAAAAUAUGAUUGAAAGACUCGUUGUAAACAUAUUGUAAGAAACUUUUGAUUGAUAUCAAAAUCAGAUUAAACAUUUGUUUUCGAGAUAGCUCGAGUGCUUCUCAAUGCACCUUUCCUCAUUUUUUUCAAAGCAACGUAGGUCUUAUGUCUUUUUUUAAUUA